rnacentral:snoRNA from 1 species
UAACGAGCAACGAUUCAGGCAGCCCCUUUGUCCGAUCUCAAUGUCAAUGGAGGUGUUGCGUUGCUCGGAGAAGAAAAUCUUUUGGUCUCAGAUCGGUUGAGGUGGGGAGGUCCCCUCCCCCCGUUGAGGCUAGUCUAGUAAAUCUUAAGAACAUACC